ACAGGAUUCCCCUAGUAACGGCGAGUGAAGCGGGAAGAGCUCAAAUUUGUAAUCUGGCUGUUUUGCAGUCCGAGUUGUAAGCUAGAGAAGUGUUAUCUGUGCUGGACCACGUAUGAGUCUGUUGGAAUAUAGCGUCAAAGAGGGUGAGAACCCCKUUCAUGAUGUGGACUACCAGUGCUUUGUGUUAACCUUUCAAAGAGUCGAGUUGUUUGGGAAUGCAGCUCAAAUUGGGUGGUAAAUUCCAUCUAAAGCUAAAUAUUGGCGGGAGACCGAUAGCGAACAAGUACCGUGAGGGAAAGAUGAAAAGCACUUUGGAAAGAGAGUCAAAUAGUACGUGAAAUUGUUGAAAGGGAAACGCUUGAAGUCAGACAUGCUUGCGGGGUUCAGUCUUCGGAUGUACUCCUYCCGCUUUGCAGGCUAGCAUCAGUUUUGUGGACUGGAUAAGGGCUUGAGGAAGGUGGCAUCUUCGGGUGUGUUAUAGCCUCUUGCUUGAUGCAGUUCGUGGGACUGAGGAUCGCAGCGCGCCUUAUGGCAUUGGCUUCGGCCUUUCCGCGCUUAGGAUGCUGGUGUAAUGGCUUUAAACGACCCGUCUUGAAACACGGACCAAGGAGUCUAACAUGCUCGCGAGUGUUUGGGUGUCAAACCCGGGCGCGUAAUGAAAGUGAAUGCAGGUGGGAUCCGCAAGGUGCACCAUCGACCGAUCUGGAUUUUCUAUGAUGGAUUUGAGUAAGAGCGUGUAUGUUGGGACCCGAAAGAUGGUGAACUAUGCCUGAAUAGGGCGAAGCCAGAGGAAACUCUGGUGGAGGCUCGUAGCGGUUCUGACGUGCAAAUCGAUCGUCAAAUUUGGGUAUAGGGGCGAAAGACUAAUCGAACCAUUUGUUGCAUUCUUGCUACUUGGUGGUUAAGAGGCUCACCCAAAUGUGGGCCUAGUCAGCGUUGAGGCUGGCGACACCGUCAAAUUGCGGGGACACCCUAAAGACCUUGAGACCAAGCUCUUGCUGGAAACGGCAGAGUGGACGAGCUAACAGCCCUGUGUAUGGUAAAACUUCAAGGUAUGAGCCAUUUGUGGCGAAAUGGGCAAUCCGCAGCCAAGCCCUAAACAUGUGUCUUACUGGCAUGUGCAGGGUGCAGUUCACAGACUAAAUGUCGGUGGGUCCCAGGUUUGAUACCUGGGGCAUAAGAUAUAGUCGGUCCUCCUGUGAAAGCAGGCUGGCAGAUGAAGUGAUCCAGGUCCCUCAAUUUCAAGGCUUGGUCAUGGGAGCUGCUGGGGCAUCUGGUAAAGAUGCUGGAG
rnacentral:rRNA from 1 species